AUUGAACGCUGGCGGCAUGCUUUACACAUGCAAGUCGAACGGUAACAGGCCGCAAGGUGCUGACGAGUGGCGAACGGGUGAGUAAUGCAUCGGAACGUGCCCAGUCGUGGGGGAUAACGCAGCGAAAGCUGCGCUAAUACCGCAUACGGUCUAUGGAUGAAAGCGGGGGACCGUAAGGCCUCGCGCGAUUGGAGCGGCCGAUGUCAGAUUAGGUAGUUGGUGGGGUAAAGGCCUACCAAGCCAACGAUCUGUAGCUGGUCUGAGAGGACGACCAGCCACACCGGGACUGAGACACGGCCCAGACUCCUACGGGAGGCAGCAGUGGGGAAUUUUGGACAAUGGGCGCAAGCCUGAUCCAGCAAUGCCGCGUGCAGGAAGAAGGCCUUCGGGUUGUAAACUGCUUUUGUACGGAACGAAAAGGCUCUGGUUAAUACCUGGGGCUCAUGACGGUACCGUAAGAAUAAGCACCGGCUAACUACGUGCCAGCAGCCGCGGUAACAC
rnacentral:rRNA from 1 species